rnacentral:rRNA from 1 species
UACAGAGGUCUCAAGCGUUGUUCGGAUUCAUUGGGCGUAAAGGGUGCGUAGGUGGCGCUGUAAGUCGGGUGUGAAAUUUCGGAGCUUAACUCCGAAACUGCAUUCGAUACUGCCGUGCUUGAGGACUGGAGAGGAGACUGGAAUUUACGGUGUAGCGGUGAAAUGCGUAGAUAUCGUAAGGAAGACCAGUGGCGAAGGCGGGUCUCUGGACAGUUCCUGACGCUGAGGCACGAAGGUCAGGGAGCAA